rnacentral:lncRNA from 1 species
AUCCUCUAGAGAAAUUAACUACUUAAAACACUUACAACGAACUAAUUAUAAUAAUUAAAAGUAUUCUAUAAAUUGACCUUAUUAUGAUGAAAAACACUAUAAAGAAAAUGACACUCGUUCCGUGUAAAAGUAAUUUGUGUCAUACUUGUCAAUUUUAUCAUGGCGUUGUUGUACUUUUCACAAAGAGAAAGUUUAGGAAUGAUGAUAAAUAUAACAAUAGUGUAGAUUUCUUUUUGCAUAAAAUAAUCGAUGUAU